ensembl:snoRNA SNORA70 Small nucleolar RNA SNORA70
CUGCAGCCAAAUAAGCCCUGUGUGCAGUGGCUGUGAACGGCAGCCUCCUAGGUGGUGUCUGCAGCCUGUACCCAGUACAGGUUGCCUUAGGGACCGUGGAGACAGCC